rnacentral:rRNA from 1 species
CCUACGGGAGGCAGCAGUGAGGAAUUUUGGUCAAUGGACGAGAGUCUGAACCAGCCAAGUAGCGUGAAGGAUGAAUGCCCUAUGGGUUGUAAACUUCUUUUAUAUGGGAAUAAAAUGUUCCACGUGUGGGAUUUUGUAUGUACCAUAUGAAUAAGGAUCGGCUAACUCCGUGCCCACGGCCGCGGUGAUACGGAGGAUCCGAGCGUUAUCCGGAUUUAUUGGGUGUAAAGGGAGCGUAGGUGGGUUGUUAAGUCAGUUGUGAAAGUUCGCGGCUCAACCGUGAAAUUGCAGUUGAAACUGGCAGUCUUGAGUGCAGUAGAGGUGGGCGGAAUUCGUGGUGUAGCGGUGAAAUGCUUAGAUAUCACGAAGAACUCCGAUUGCGAAGGCAGUUCACUGGACUGCAACUGACACUGAGGCCCGAAAGUGUGGGUAUCAAACAGGAUUAGAUACCCUGGUAGUC